GAUUUAUUUAAUUUAGAUCAAUUUUAGGUCGAUCCAGUCCAUUAUGUAACACAUACUUAUUACAAGUAUUUGGAUCUACCAAAUACACAAGCAAAGCUGUCCAAGUACCGAUGGCAUCAAGUUCUUUGGAUUCAAAUUAUUGUUACAUACUAAAGCAACUCAAAAACGUUUAUAUUUGGUGUGGAAUUUAUUCCACAGGCGAUCAGAGAGAAAUGGCCAAGGGUUUUGCCGGUAAAAGUUUCGAAAUUGUUCUUGAAAAAAAAGAAACAGAAACUUUCUGGGAAAUACUGGGUGGAUCAAGUCUUUACAAAACCG